rnacentral:rRNA from 1 species
UUAAGUGCAUGUGGUGGAUGCCUUGGCAGUCAGAGGCGAUGAAAGACGUGAUAGCCUGCGAAAAGCUCCGGGGAGGCGGCAAAUAUCCUUUGAUCCGGAGAUGUCUGAAUGGGGGAACCCACCUACUUUAAGGUAGGUAUUGCAACAUGAAUACAUAGUGUUGCAAGGCGAACGAGGGGAAGUGAAACAUCUCAGUACCCUUAGGAAAAGAAAUCAAUUGAGAUUCCCUCAGUAGCGGCGAGCGAACGGGGAUCAGCCCAUUAAGUUAUGUGUGUUUUAGUGGAACGCUCUGGGAAGUGCGAACGUAGAGGGUGAUAUUCCCGUACACGAAAGGGCACACAUAAUGAUGACGAGUAGGGCGAGGCACGUGAAACCUUGUCUGAAUAUGGGGGGACCAUCCUCCAAGGCUAAAUACUCCUGACUGACCGAUAGUGAACCAGUACCGUGAGGGAAAGGCGAAAAGAACCCCUGUGAGGGGAGUGAAAUAGAUCCUGAAACCGCAUGCAUACAAGCAGUGGGAGCACCUUCGUGGUGUGACUGCGUACCUUUUGUAUAAUGGGUCAGCGACUUAUAUUCAGUAGCGAGGUUAACCGUAUAGGGGAGCCGUAGAGAAAUCGAGUCUUAAUAGGGCGUUUAGUUGCUGGGUAUAGACCCGAAACCAGGCGAUCUAUCCAUGAGCAGGUUGAAGGUUGGGUAACACUAACUGGAGGACCGAACCCACUGUCGUUGAAAAGCCAGGGGAUGACUUGUGGAUAGGGGUGAAAGGCUAAUCAAGCCUGGUGAUAGCUGGUUCUCCCCGAAAGCUAUUUAGGUAGCGCCUCGGACGAAUACCAUAGGGGGUAGAGCACUGUUUCGGCUAGGGGGUCAUCCCGACUUACCAAACCGAUGCAAACUCCGAAUACCUAUGAGUACUAUCCGGGAGACAGACUGCGGGUGCUAACGUCCGUAGUCAAGAGGAAAACAAUCCAGACCGCCAGCUAAGGCCCCAAAAUCAUAGUUAAGUGGGAAACGAUGUGGGAAGGCAUAGACAGCUAGGAGGUUGGCUUAGAAGCAGCCACCCUUUAAAGAAAGCGUAAUAGCUCACUAGUCGAGUCGGCCUGCGCGGAAGAUGUAACGGGGCUAAAACUAUGUGCCGAAGCUGCGGAUGUAUACNUUGUANACGUGGUAGGGGAGCGUUCUGUAAGCCGAUGAAGGUGUGUUGAGAAGCAUGCUGGAGGUAUCAGAAGUGCGAAUGCUGACGUGAGUAACGACAAAACGGGUGAAAAACCCGUUCGCCGAAAGACCAAGGGUUCCAGUCCAACGUUAAUCGGGGCUGGGUGAGUCGACCCCUAAGGCGAGGCCGAAAGGCGUAGUCGAUGGGAAAAUGGUUAAUAUUCCAUUACUUCUGUGUAAUGCGAUGAGAGGACGGAGAAGGCUAAAUCAGCCUGGCGUUGGUUGUCCAGGUGAAAGGAUGUAGGCAUGUAUCUUAGGCAAAUCCGGGGUACUCUAUGCUGAGAUCUGAUAGCAAGCUGUACUUGUACAGCGAAGUGGUUGAUGCCAUGCUUCCAGGAAAAGUCUCUAAGCUUCAGUUACACAGGAAUCGUACCCGAAACCGACACAGGUGGUCAGGUCGAGUAGACCAAGGCGCUUGAGAGAACUCUGCUGAAGGAACUAGGCAAAAUGGUACCGUAACUUCGGGAGAAGGUACGCUGUUGUUGGUGAUGGAACUCGCUUCCUGAGCUGACGACAGCCGCAGAAACCAGGCCGCUGCAACUGUUUAUUAAAAACAUAGCACUCUGCAAACACGAAAGUGGACGUAUAGGGUGUGAUGCCUGCCCGGUGCUGGAAGGUUAAUUGAUGGGGUUAGCGUAAGCGAAGCUCUUGAUCGAAGCCCCAGUAAACGGCGGCCGUAACUAUAACGGUCCUAAGGUAGCGAAAUUCCUUGUCGGGUAAGUUCCGACCUGCACGAAUGGCAUAAUGAUGGCGGCGCUGUCUCCAGCAGAGGCUCAGUGAAAUCGAAAUCGCUGUGAAGAUGCAGUGUACCCGCGGCUAGACGGAAAGACCCCGUGAACCUUUACUGCAGCUUGACACUGAACUUUGACCUUACUUGUGUAGGAUAGGUGGGAGGCUUUGAAGCUGGAACGCUAGUUCCAGUGGAGCCGUCCUUGAAAUACCACCCUGGUAAUGUUGAGGUUCUAACUCUGUCCCGUGAUCCGGGACGAGGACCGUGUCUGGUGGGUAGUUUGACUGGGGCGGUCUCCUCCUAAAGAGUAACGGAGGAGUACGAAGGUGCGCUCAGCGUGGUCGGAAAUCACGCGUAGAGUAUAAAGGCAAAAGCGCGCUUAACUGCGAGACCCACAAGUCGAGCAGGUACGAAAGUAGGUCUUAGUGAUCCGGUGGUUCUGUAUGGAAGGGCCAUCGCUCAACGGAUAAAAGGUACUCUGGGGAUAACAGGCUGAUACCGCCCAAGAGUUCAUAUCGACGGCGGUGUUUGGCACCUCGAUGUCGGCUCAUCUCAUCCUGGGGCUGAAGCAGGUCCCAAGGGUAUGGCUGUUCGCCAUUUAAAGAGGUACGCGAGCUGGGUUUAGAACGUCGUGAGACAGUUCGGUCCCUAUCUACCGUGGGCGCUGGAAAUUUGAGAGGAUCUGCUCCUAGUACGAGAGGACCAGAGUGGACGAACCUCUGGUGUACCGGUUGUGACGCCAGUCGCAUCGCCGGGUAGCUAUGUUCGGAAGGGAUAACCGCUGAAAGCAUCUAAGCGGGAAGCCUACCUCAAGAUAAGAUUUCCCUAGGACUUUAUGUCCUCUAAAGAGCCGUUCGAGACUAGGACGUUGAUAGGUUGGAUGUGGAAGCAUAGUGAUAUGUGAAGCUGACCAAUACUAAUUGCUCGUGAGGCUUGACU